GAGUCAAUUUUUUUAAGGCCUCAGUUGUCCAGUACCAUUACAACGAACGAGUCGAUUUUUUCGGUGUUACAAAGAUAAAUAAUGUGUCCAUGAUUUGAAGUUUGUGUGCCCUGCAAUUGUGAAGUUAGAUUCGAUCAGAUAUUCAUUCAGAUUACGUGGAAAAUAUUUGGUUUAAUGGAGAAUAUAUCUGUAGAUGCGACUACAAUAAUGAUGGUGGAAACGUUUGCUAAAUGUAUGGAAAGACCUACUGUAUUUGGCGAUGCGACUACAAUAAUGAUGGUGGAAUAGUUUGCCUAAAUGCAUGGAAAGACCUACUCUAUUUGGAGAUGCGACUACAAUAAUUACUGGAAAUAUUCGACUAGAUGUGUUGGUUUAUCUGGAGACGAGACAAUGAAAAUAUUUGGCUGGAUAUGCAUCUGAAGUGUAUAUGAAGAAAAGGAUUUCCAUCCAGGUUACAUGGAAAAUGGAUGUGGUUUUAUGGAGAAUAUAUCUGGAGAUGCGACUACAAUAAUGAUGGUGGAAAUAUUCGGCUAGAUGUUUGAGUUUAUCUGGAGACGAGACAAUGAAAAUAUUUGGCUGGAAAUGCAUCUAAAGUGCUUUUAAAGAAAAGGGUGAG